rnacentral:rRNA from 1 species
UACGUAGGGUGCGAGCGUUGUCCGGAAUUAUUGGGCGUAAAGAGCUCGUAGGCGGUCUGUCGCGUCGGUCGUGAAAACUUGGGGCUUAACCCUGAGCUUGCGGUCGAUACGGGCAUGACUGGAGUUCGGCAGGGGAGACUGGAAUUCCGUGGUGUAGCGGUGGAAUGCGCAGAUAUCAGGAGGAACACCGGUGGCGAAGGCGGGGUCUCUGGGCCGUUACUGACGCUGGAGGAGCGAAAGCGUGGGGAGCGAACAGG